rnacentral:rRNA from 1 species
ACGUACACUCCUACGGGAGGCAGCAGUGGGGAAUAUUGGACAAUGGGCGCAAGCCUGAUCCAGCCAUGCCGCGUGAGUGAUGAAGGCCCUAGGGUUGUAAAGCUCUUUCACCGGUGAAGAUAAUGACGGUAACCGGAGAAGAAGCCCCGGCUAACUUCGUGCCAGCAGCCGCGGUAAUACGAAGGGGGCUAGCGUUGUUCGGAUUUACUGGGCGUAAAGCGCACGUAGGCGGACUAUUAAGUCAGGGGUGAAAUCCCGGGGCUCAACCCCGGAACUGCCUUUGAUACUGGUAGUCUUGAGUUCGAGAGAGGUGAGUGGAAUUCCGAGUGUAGAGGUGAAAUUCGUAGAUAUUCGGAGGAACACCAGUGGCGAAGGCGGCUCACUGGCUCGAUACUGACGCUGAGGUGCGAAAGCGUGGGGAGCAAACAGGAUUAGAUACCCCAGUAGUCCCAU